rnacentral:rRNA from 1 species
ACUUAAAUUGAAGAGUUUGAUCAUGGCUCAGAUUGAACGCUGGCGGCAGGCCUAACACAUGCAAGUCGAGCGGUAGCACAGAGAGCUUGCUCUCGGGUGACGAGCGGCGGACGGGUGAGUAAUGUCUGGGAAACUGCCUGAUGGAGGGGGAUAACUACUGGAAACGGUAGCUAAUACCGCAUAAUGUCGCAAGACCAAAGUGGGGGACCUUCGGGCCUCAUGCCAUCAGAUGUGCCCAGAUGGGAUUAGCUUGUAGGUGGGGUAACGGCUCACCUAGGCGACGAUCCCUAGCUGGUCUGAGAGGAUGACCAGCCACACUGGAACUGAGACACGGUCCAGACUCCUACGGGAGGCAGCAGUGGGGAAUAUUGCACAAUGGGCGCAAGCCUGAUGCAGCCAUGCCGCGUGUGUGAAGAAGGCCUUCGGGUUGUAAAGCACUUUCAGCGGGGAGGAAGGCGGUGAGGUUAAUAACCUCAUCGAUUGACG